rnacentral:rRNA from 1 species
GACGAACGCUGGCGGCGUGCCUAAUACAUGCAAGUAGAACGCUGAAGGAGGAGCUUGCUUCUCCGGAUGAGUUGCGAACGGGUGAGUAACGCGUAGGUAACCUGCCUGGUAGCGGGGGAUAACUAUUGGAAACGAUAGCUAAUACCGCAUAACAGUAGAUAUUGCAUGAUAUCUGCUUGAAAGGUGCAAUUGCAUCACUACCAGAUGGACCUGCGUUGUAUUAGCUAGUUGGUGGGGUAACGGCUCACCAAGGCGACGAUACAUAGCCGACCUGAGAGGGUGAUCGGCCACACUGGGACUGAGACACGGCCCAGACUCCUACGGGAGGCAGCAGUAGGGAAUCUUCGGCAAUGGACGGAAGUCUGACCGAGCAACGCCGCGUGAGUGAAGAAGGUUUUCGGAUCGUAAAGCUCUGUUGUAAGAGAAGAACGAGUGUGAGAGUGGAAAGUUCACACUGUGACGGUAUCUUACCAGAAAGGGACGGCUAACUACGUGCCAGCAGCCGCGGUAAUACGUAGGUCCCGAGCGUUGUCCGGAUUUAUUGGGCGUAAAGCGAGCGCAGGCGGUUAGAUAAGUCUGAAGUUAAAGGCUGUGGCUUAACCAUAGUACGCUUUGGAGACUGUUUAACUUGAGUGCAAGAGGGGAGAGUGGAAUUCCAUGUGUAGCGGUGAAAUGCGUAGAUAUAUGGAGGAACACCGGUGGCGAAAGCGGCUCUCUGGCUUGUAACUGACGCUGAGGCUCGAAAGCGUGGGGAGCAAACAGG